AUGUCUUAUAGCACGACGCCCAGAGUUUUGUCCUAUAGCGUUAAACAUUUAGAAGGUGAUAAUAAACGAAAGCACGUGGAAAAAUAAGAGACACCUGGCAUAGAGGACCCAUAUUUAAUACCCAAGUCGAUGUUUUCGUUGAUAAGAAAGUGGACUGUAAACCCGCUUCUGCUUAUCUUGGACAACAGGAUCUACAUAUGUAUCUGAAUAUUUUGCAGAAUUUCUCAAAUGUUCAGCAGCAACAUUUGCUUAAUUCGAUAGCGGAGAUGCCAGUGGAAUUCCUCAUGAUGUAGAGGAGUUCUGAUAAGGACCGGCAAAUACAGCAAGCAACUACCUGCAGGUCAGAGACUGAAGUGUUCCCUGCUGCUACAGCACCACAAAAACAUUCACGGGCGCUCGCAGUAGCCCGAGGCGCACUUUUGAUCAAAC